GAAAGCGGAGCGCUGGGAACUCAGUCUCGCGCCUCCCGAAGCCGAGCGGAGUUUUGACCCACCCAGACCCCACCCUUCGGUUGCAUCCAUCACACAGUCAUUACAAAGGGGCAGCGCUGUCACACUGCCUGCCCUGCUCCCGGGGCUCUCGGGCUGGCUUAAUGAAGUGCACCCAGCCGGGGCUAUUGUGCAGCGCGAAUGAGGCAAGGACGAGACGGCAACGAUCCUAGCAGCUGCUCUCUGCAGCCCCGCAGCAGUGGCCAAGCCCAGACCUCAAGUGGAUGGAUGCCUCUGGAAGUGUCUUCCUGAACGAACCCAUCAGGCAGUAGAAGACUGUGGCGGGGCUAGUGAACUUAGAUGAGGCGUUCGUCUCCUGCAGUUGAGCCGGCCGGAGAGACACUUUAGUCCUGCCUUCCCAGUUCUGCGCCCUGCACAAGCAGUUUUGAAAAAUUAAGUGCAAAAAGCAUGACAAAGCAAUAUGAGGUUGCCGUGUUGCCUUUUAACUUGUCAAGGGCAGGCCAUGGAGAUGACUGGGCCCCCCAAUAUUGGAAUGGACUUGCACAUUCUCUGAUGAGGCAAGGGCAUCCAAGUUUUCUCAUUUGAAGGAUGGGAUGGAAGCAAAAGUACUCCCUUGAAAGUAAUUGUUCUCAUGUUUUGUUGAAACCACUUCUAACUUUGAUUUAUAUGUGUGUAAAUAUAUAAUCGUAUGUGCUUACAUUUCUCUCAAGAUGUAUUCUGAAAUAAAGUUUUUUAAAGUUGUUACAAAUGUCCUCUGAUCAUGAGAAACACAUAUAGUAACUUUUAAAACUAAUUAUUUUGCAAUAAAGAUUAAUGUAUUUUAUUAGACUUACACUUUAAUAACUUAUU
ensembl:lncRNA